AUUACAUAACAUGUAUUCCGACACUCCAUUCGCUCGGUAUCUCCGCUGCGAUGCGGACCGCGACUUCGCACGACUUUCGGCGACAUGACCCUCCUCCUCUUUAUGCGCGCGUUCGCAUAUAGAGGCAACGGAUCCCCGGCACCCCGACGAUCGGAGGCGUGAAAUACGCGAGGCGUAAAUUUCGGUGCGAGUCGCCUCGGCGAAUUUUCUCCGCGUUUAAAUCGCUUAAACCGACGCGCUCGCCGAUCGCGAUGAUGUAUCGCGAGAGAUGCAGGAUGCUGAACUCUGAGUUUUAGAGGCCUGAGAACCUGAAAACACACUCCCGUUGCCAUUUACACGAUGCGAGAAAAUUGCACGUCUCGCAGAUUAUCGAGUACCCGACGUGUAAGAUUAUUCGACGGUUCUUCUCGAACGCUUAUGAUCCGCAACGCCGCUUAAUUGGAUCGCACGGUCGGCUGUUUUGCGGCAAUCUAUGCGGCCUGUACUUUCCGCACAUUUUUUGCGGAUAAUCGCGCGAAUGACGCGUUUCUUCGCGUGCAAAAGACAAUGCGCAAAGAAACCGGGCAAAAUUCCAGGACGGACGACGCGCGUCGUUCCACCGGUUCUGAAUUCCAGGGUGUCCGAGUGUCCUUGAGCCUGUACGCGGUGGAACGUCGUCCGACGAGAGAGUUGACCGUCGUCGAUCACGAUCCACAUUCGUUACAGAUCGGUAUCUUCCUCACGAGGCAUUCCGAUAGGCUACACUCCUGUUUUCCGCGUGAAUCGAAUUGUGGCGCAAAUGAUUGUUAAUGUUGUAUCCUUUUUUUUUUUAUUUGAUCGCAAGACUAAUUGUUAAUACUACGGGAGCUCGAUACGGUUGAAAGAUGACGUGGAUCGUUACGCAUUUGAGAGCACGAUUUGAGAGAACGAUUUCGCCGAGUGCACACCGCGUGUGCGUUAUUCUACUUUUGUACCAAUUUUGAAGAGUAAUAAGCGUGACACGUGCGACCGACUUUCCCUCUCCGAAUCGUGGGAUUGUUAGCCGAUAUACCAAAUACGACACGUGCUUUUUGCACGUCGCGCCGUACCUUUGCAGGCUGGUCGAUCGAUAUAGCUUUAAAAUCAAUUUGCCAAUCCUAUUCAAACUUCUUAUUACGUGUAGCUGUCUUGCAAAUUGUAAAAACUACGCCGACUGUAAUAACAUUAUUAAAAUCGAUCUCAACACCUUUCUAUAAGACAAAUAAAUCACUCCUUUUGUUUGUCAUUUGUAUUUUUUUAAUAUUUGGUAUAUUACUUAUCAUCGAUAACAUUAAUUAAAUAACUGAAUUUACUGCUUUUUCAAUAAAGAAAAAUAUUUGGUUUUAAAAAUAAGAAAAUUCUUUAAACUCUUCACAAAUAAGGCGGUUUUUUUUAAUCUUACCUCAGAAAGGAAAACAGAUAAAUUACAGUAUAAGGCAAUUAUAAUGUCGCGACCAAUUUUGCGCGACGUGUGCAUUUUUCUUGGUGCACCCACGCUAGCUCGAUCGUGAUACAGGUGCAAGGACCGAUUGGAUCCGCUCGUCAUCGGUACGGAUGACUAUUACGGCCAUUAAGGGCCGAAUUUGAAUCGGAAAGGCAUUAAAGAUAUUUUAUGGCCUCCCGUGGUGCGGGAUCGUCGACGUACGCGCGUGUAUGCGUAUUCGUGCACAUACACGUGAUCGGGACCAUGACUCUGCACUCAAUUAUCGACAUAAAUAAUAUUAACGCCCGUUUCGUCGCUUUGCCCAGCACGCAGCCGGAUGGUGUCGCGUUGUAUUUCUCUGUCAGUUACUCUCUCUAUCGACUCUGUCCUCAAAAUCCAUGAUGUACCAGGCGUAAAUGUCUGAAUACAUCGUUUCAUAAUUCGUCGUCAUUUCAGAUAACGUCAUUAACAAUCUGUAAACCAUGUUUGUUCCGCGCGGUUAGAAGAUUAUUGUGUUCGCAGAAGUACGUGAAGGCCCGAGUAUAUAUCGAGAUUUAACAUAAAGCUAAUGAAAAACGAAGCGACAAUGAUCUCCUGUAUCGUUACUGAAAUUCGUGUAAUGUAAUAAUACAUAAUUCAUCACUAUGCUAAAUUAAUUCCACGCCUCGUUACACCUCGCCGUUUCGCUGCUCCGCGCGAGACUGAGAGAGAGAGAGAGAGGGGGGGGGGGAGAAAAAGAUGCGCGUGAAAAGAAGCAAGAGUGGACGUAUAGUGUCCCUAUACGUCCACUCUCGCUCUUCCACCUCCUCCCUUUCCCUGCCGCGCUGUUUCUAUUAGUGCGCGGUCCGGCGCUCGGAGGAGUCUGUAUAAAUUAAUUAGUAGAUAUAUCCUGAGAUACACGGCCUCCCACCGUACGACGUGCCGCUAUCUCGUUCUCCAUCGAACGUCCGACCGCCGUGGGUAACGCAUUACGAUCCGAGCAUAUAGCGCGCGUGUACAGUUACGUGUGCGUACGGGCUGCCGUCGUGUGCGUGCGCGCUUGUACGCGGUGAUGUACAUACACGUGCACGUACAUAUGGGGUACACGUGCGCGACACCGCGAUCGCGCUCGCUCGCACGCGCGUACGUCGUGCCUCGCAGAGGUGUCGGCUUGAAGCGAAACCUCCGCGCGAGAAGGCUACCGAGGGUAAAGCGGGGAGGGGAUACUAACGGAUCACUGAACAGUACAACAAGGUCCACGCGAGGGCCGACCGGAGCUGUGCGAUCCUCCUCGGGGAUUAUCUCGCAAUUUCAACCGACGCUUCGGCGUAAUCGCACGCGUUACGCACUCAAACGAUCGCACGCGAACAACAAUGUUGUAUCACUCGCUGUGUGCAGGUGUUACGAAUGAUGUAUCAAUGAAACGAGAGGAUGUAUAAAGAGAUGUAUAAUCGGACUUUGAACAAAACUUCAAGGGACGAUCCCGUGAAGGUGUCGGAGUCAACUUCACCUUCUGGUUCCGUCUCCGUGAGACAUUGGUUAUAAAAUUGUUGUUGAGCCCAACUUAAGGUAGAACUUUCACAUACGGCCUCAACGGUGGUCGUUGUAGAUUAGCCCGGCUCGCUAAUUAAUUUCGAGAGAAUCGAAUUCCGUGGAUUCUUGGAGGAUCGUAGCCGCAGCGGCAUGAAUUUCACUCGAAGGAACCGGUUGAAUUUUAUAGAAAUUUUCGUAAUGAAGCUAACGCCGGGAAACAAUAGAGAUUGUAACAAGACAUAAAUCUGAGCAUAGGACUUACUUUGUUAAUCAAACGUGAACAUUUUAUAGUUAAUAUUGUUCAACCUAGAUGCGUAAAAAUGUCACUCACCGAUAAAUAAAUAUUGUAAAUACUUGUGAUACCAAUAAACAUAUAUCACUUAUGCUACCUUUGUAAUUUAUACAAGCGGUGCUCUCCUGCGGCAUUUAUAUGCAAUGAAUAAUUAUUCCUUUUUUUUUCUCAAGUGUAGAAGUUGCAGCGCAAAUUAUCAUGUUGCUCGGAGUAACAGGAACUCGACGUUUACAGGCGAUAAAUUAUCACCCAUAAACAAGCAUGAGACAAUUGAAUUUACCUCGAAUCUUGAUAAUACACGGAUCGCUUAUCGUCGGAUGCUAGGAUUACGUCAUCGCUGUAACUUGGUUAACGGCUGACUAGCGCCUUCGCGCAUCGACGUGUGAGGUCUAUUAACGGGCCAUUCAAUCGUAAAACCUCGACUACAUAAAGGCCCUCGUUGUGUCGGCUUGUUUGCAGGCGUCUUUCUUCCGUCGAAUCGAUUUUCCGGCACCGCGCCGCACCCAAAUACACGGAGAAGGAUUCCGUCCUGAUUGUUCCGACCAGUGGGAAAAAAAUGUGUGACUACACUGUCGUACUAAACUUUUGCGCUAUUCUCUGACAAAUUUCAGCGUUAACUGUAUUCCAUUUAGCUGUUACCACUUAGAUUUUUUGCGAAUUUUUUGAAAUGUUAAUGUAAAAAAAAAAAGUUGAAAGAAUAUUUUCUUGCACGGCACUGAUACAGUUAGGCUGAAGACAAUCGCGCGUGCAUCAGCCUCUGGUACUUCCGGCACCGGGUGCCGUCUGGAAACGUAAAGCCGAGUGGAAGGAAGUGAGCGAUGAGCCGGUUAGAGUUUGCGCGCGGGGAGGCGCAACGAGGGGCUGAAUGCUGAACUGAAGAGCGGGUAGAAGAAGAGAAAGGUGGUCCAGGGCGGUCGAAACAUUCUCGGCUCAGGGCGUGCAUUAAAUAUGAUAUAUGCUUAUUGAAUUUGUAAGUAAAACGGCCGACGGUAGGACUACAGCGCCUCGUGGUAAUCGGGGAUGCGCGUACCGGGAAGGCGAACGAGCUUGAAGAAGAGAAAGAGGAGAGAAGUGGGUGACGCGUACCGUCUUUUUCUUACACUUGGCCCUUCUUACUAUCUCCGUUAGCUUCCUCUCUUCCAUGCUCUCUCCUGCCGUUCUCUCUCUCUCUGCUCCGCAGCUUGUCGAUUUCUCUCGCUCUACCUUUCGCUCUCGCCACGUCUUCUCUCACGCUUUCUAACCGCUCCCGUCUCUCUUUCUCUCUCCCUCGUUCUCUCCUCUUGGUAGCCGUGGUAGUAAAGCGUGCAUAAUUAGGAGGAAUUCAACAGGGAUUAACCCUCGCACAGGAUCCCAUACGGUCAUCCCGCUUCUGCCCCUCUUUGUCGAGCAACUAAUUUAUUUAAUCAUUCCACUGUCGAGCAGCAAGCGGCGCCUUUGCUCGUCUGCGGUCCCUAAGUUGUUUAAUCGUCCAAAGAGUCUGUUUCUCUUCUCCCCGCGUCGCCGUCUUGCCCGCCGUCGUUGUCCGCACGCUACCACUUCUCUUCAUUGCGAAUCUCGCACGACGUCUCUGUUUCCUCGCGCCUGUCCUCGAGGUCAUCGUUGUCGUCGUCGUCAUUUAAAUCCUCGAGGACUGAAGACCGGCUUAUUCACGCAAUUAUCGCGACUAAUUUUUCAUUACAUUCAUUUUGUAUAAGAUUUAAAUGCGUUUUCUCAAGACUACCUAUCCGAUGUACAAACAGAAUAAAAUGAGAAAGUCGGUUUCGAGAUUAAAGAAUAAAAAAUCUAAUACUUAAAAUGUAAAAAACACUGGUCUCGCUACACGUGGAAAUCUCCCGAGUCUUAAAGGGAUAAGAAACAAGAGAGGAGAGAGGCAAAGGGGUAGAUUUAGUCCAAUAAAUCCUGGUUAAAUAAUACUCUUCCGUGGACAUUGUCGCGAGGGGGUCGAACUCUCUCAUGCGAGCCGAGCAUUAGGCAACGUUCUCGCAGCCGCGACAUUACGGCCGCGCGGCGUUUCUUGCGUAGAUCUGCGCGAAUGCGCGUCCGCGUGUCGACGUGUAAUACGCGCGAACAGUUUCUUGCGCGCAUCACGAUGCACGACGCGGCUGGUCGCGUCCGCUUGACGCUAAGACCAUAGCGAAUCGUCGAUCGAGUGACACUGGGAAACGCGGUCCCUUUGAACUUCUCGCACGCAGUACGGCGACUUCACGUAUGCCGUGUGAAAAAUUUUCCAUCUGCAAUAAAACGCGGAUUUCAUAAGAAAUAUAUAUUCCUGAUUCUUCUCAGUUCAUACUCUCUCACCGCGUCGUGCCACGUUCUACCCUACAUUUUACUUCCAAUUAUGUUACAUUCCCUCGUCAGGAGGGACAUACCUCCCGAGAUCGUGAAAGUACAUUCGCUUGAUAUCUCGCACUCGUUGCACGUACAGAUCGUGCACGGGUUGGCUUAAUUGAUGCGAUUAAUUCCGCCUACUUGUCGGACUAUACUUUAUAUUCAUAGCAAAAAGGUAGACAAAAAGGAAGACACUAACUUGGACGUGAAGAAAUGGAAUCUCUUGCACGCUUCUCCCUACCGAAAGUAAUUAGAAGCUUUAAUAAAAUUAAAGAUAAAUAAUUUUAUAUAUCCGUCGAUUAAUUCAAUGAUACGGGAGUAUGAGACAUUUCUGUCUUAGUGUGUCGUGUACAUACAUAUUCGCGAUAAAGAAGGCGUAAAAAAAAAUGAUCGUAACAAAAAAGCGUGAGAUUCCAACAGAACUUCCAAUCUCGAUUUGACGAGCGUACGUGUGCGCGCGUAUGUGUUAAUAAAAAUCUGAAAAAGUGCGGAAAUCAUCUCCGCGUCGGUAGAUGAAGGAGGGAAAAGGAUGCGAAGCUUUGGAGGUGGAGAGCCGCGACGAAAAGGGAGAAAAUGAAAAUGAAAGAGAAAGAGAGAGAGAGAGAGAGGGAGGCACGAACUCCCGCAGCGAGCAAAGCUAAAAAAUGGCCCGGGCCCCGAGUGAACCCGUGGGCCCCUGGCUGAAUGGCCAGGCUGAAAGUCAAGCCACGAGAGGUACGUAAGCACGCGCGUGCGUACGUACGUUGCGUCACGUACGCUGGCACGUUAAAGCUCGACCACGCACGCAUUCCGGCGCGCGAUACGUGCGAGGAGGGUACCGGCCGUCGUAUACUUACACACUCGCGGGGGUAUGCACAAAGGGUACGCUCUUAGCGACCGGUUCGCGGCCCCCUUAAUGACUCGUAAUCACGGAACGGUGAUGUCCCUGAGUUAUGACGCGCCUUGCCUGAGGGAGGAGAGGAUACGUGGGGGCGAAAGAGAGAGAGAGUCCGACGCGAAGAGGCGAAAGGUACACUCGAAGAGGAAGGAAGAACGGUGAAUCCCUUCUCCCCCCCGCCCUCUCUCUCUCUUAUGUAACACCCACGGGGGUUACCGGUGCAUCGUCAUUCUCCUCUCACCUCAUCCCCCUACGCGGGACUUACGAGCUUACUCGAAAUCCAGAUUCCCCGCGAGACGGUCGUUAUGUUCUCUCUGCCGUGCAUACGUGAGCUCAAUCUCCCUCAUCUCCGUUACGUCUCCCUCCUCCCCCCUGUCCUCUACCCUCCGGUUACUCUCUGAAACUUUCUUUCUCUCCUUCUCAUUCGUUUCCGCAUCCUUGCGAGUUGCAGUAACACAUUUAAGAUAUCACGGAUAACUUUAACAGACUCGUCUCAUGUUCGUUUUAUUAUCGCUAAUAAGUUCGCAUUUUAAGUAAAUCGUAUGUGCAUUCCGAUUUUUCGUCGCUUUCGAAAAGAGAAUGACUCGGACUCACGGUGCACGCAGAUGCGAUACAGUGAUUCAAUCGUCUGGGGAUCAUUCACCCAAACGAACUCGUUCUUAAUCGCGUUUAACCAUCUUAUCUCCGCGCUCGCCUUUCAUUCUCUUCGUCAUCCUAACGCGACCUACCGUUCGAUUAUUUCGCGUAGAGUCCAAAGAUGCCUUGUCAGACUCCGCUACCGCCGAGAACGCGCGCAACAGUAUCACGACUUACGCAUCGAGUUAACCAGUUUAACAUAUUAUUCCCCCCCUCCCCCUAGCUAAUUAUUGUGACAGUAAUAACGUUUGAUCCAAAGCUCUCGUUUGUUACUGGACGUUUACGUUUCUGGGCGUGACACGCGCGCGACGUCGCGAGUCGCCAACCCGUGUGGACGUGUAAAACGAUCGUUCCCGAUACCCGAUUGAUCGCGUGGAAUCCCCACGAUCCAGACGGCUAUACGACGAUAAAUCCCGUAAAGGUGGUGCCCCGAGCUUCACCUUUCGCCUCGAUGACUUUUUUUUUUUAUAACAGCUGAUCCUCGUUCCUUUACUAUUCCUCGCUGGCUGCGUCGGUGUCGGUUUUACUCAUAUUCCUCCUCACCUCCUUUUCGACCACCACCACCUCCGGCAAUUCACCGAUUACCGCCCCACCCACGCGCGCUAUACGGAGAAGUCACUAAUGACUACACCGUUUAUGAAUACGGAUUAUUCGGGCGAGAUGGGCGUGUGGUAAAGGAUUAUCGCGAGCGAACGCCCUUUUGAGUUAACGGACGGCGAAGAAAGCGAAAGAGCGGGCACAAAAACGUCAGGGUUAUUUUCCAUCUCCACGCUCGUAUAGGGGAAUCUCUUUCUCUCUCUCUCUCUCUCUCAAUCUUUUCUUUCUUCUACUUCUUCAAAUACGUUCUGGCUUUCUUUUUCUAUUACACGCUCGACCCCUUGGUUUGCAGGACCGAUGACUAACGCGGAUCAAGGACCUCAAUUCAACGGACAGCUCGUUCCAAAUACUGUCUUUAUAUUUCAGCGUCAGAUACUUUUUUAAAUAAACUCCAACUCUCUUCAUGCGUUCCCCCUGAUACACGUCAAAUGUUGCCUUUACCUGUUUCUACUCGUAAAUUAUUUCAAAUUUAAGCACUUUUAUGCAUGCUUUGCUUUGAGAAAACUCUUAGUAAAACAAACACACUCCCGCACUGUUGAAGUUUAACAGCUUUCCGUAUUCGAGAGGACUUCAGCUUUCAGCAUUGUCGAGAUAUGUAAAAUUUCCAACUCGCAUUACCGAGAAAACGCAUUAAAUAUGACUUUCAAAUGCAGCCAUUAGAAACGCCAAUACUUUGAUGACCCAGGCCCAGGCCAACCACAAGUGUCUUCGUCUAGAACGAGUGGAACGGAAGUCGUGCUUGCGAGCGAAAUUGUUAUAGCCUUGGUCGCUCGGUAGUGUCGAGCGAAUCGGCGGCGACCGGUUCAUCGACUUUCAUGAGUCCGUAGCGGUACCGUGACUUUCGUGGAGCGGACAUUUUUCUCACUGCCGAGCUUACCGCGCGGCUCGAGGAUGAACGAAGAAAUCGCGAAAGUGGACCGUGAACUGCUUAUUACAUUCCGGCACAAAUGGAACUUAACUUCACUUUUUCUUAAACGGUCCUCGCUUUCACACCGACGGGCCACGGAGCAGCUAACGAGUGUACGUAACUGAGAGAGCGAUUCACAGUUCUCUACCGAAAGAAUUCGAGUUUUACGAUUCGAGCAAUGAAACAGGGAAAGGGGUGGGAUUAUCACGGACGUGACAUUCUGAGCUUAUAAACAUUACGAUAGUUAAAUAUACGUCAAAUUACCAUUAACACGUCGUAUCUACAUUAGACGGCCGUAAAACGCGCGCGCCUUAUGCGCUGUAUCGUGAAAUAUUUCGCGAUUUAGUUCGGCAUUUAAUAAGCCAACAACGUUGCGCAACAUUGCGCGUGUAUUCCCCGUGCUCGUCGUGAAAUCCCCCUCCCCCUUCCCCCUGCAAGAGAGUUACGCGUGAGAACGGCGCCGGACUAUCACUUCGCAUUACAAAACUAUCAUUCAAACGUGUAGAAAUCGCGGGUUAUCUCCGAUCGGGCGCUAAUUCCUCGCCUGCGCGUAUAGGGAUCGAUCGCGCACACAUCCGUCGAUCGUGCGAGAGAAAACGCAUACGCGUGCAACAUCGGAAGGGAAAACGCUUUGGCGGAUAUGAAGAAUUAACCGUCUCGACGGAACGAAUGUACGGGACUAUCCCGCGGAUAAUCUCAUUGUCGGCCCUCAACCGUUACAACGUCAUUAGAGGGAUAACGGAGAGAUACGAGACGACGUUUCACGUUUCACGCAACUUCGUUUAAUAGCGAAAAGUUUUUUUUUUCUCAUGUUCCUCUCGGCCGAGAGUUACUUCAUACCGUAGUUUUGCAAUAUGAUGUCUUCACGGAGAGACAGACAUAACAGCGCUACUACUUAAAAUCGUUACGCCACGAUUCUGUCGUCCCUGCCAAGUAAUAGACUAAUAAUAAAUUGAUUAAAUUAUUUUGUUCUCACAGUCACACCGAUGCGAUUGAAGAAUCAUGCGAUAAUGUUUCGUGCGCGUUUCAUACGUUUUACUGCAUUUCUUUUUUACGCAUGGUCGAAAAAAUGCCCCGCAAAUAUGCGUUCGCCGCGAUGGGCGCGAAAGAGAGGAGCUACUUUGUGGACUGUCCGUAGGCUCCCUUCCGCCGCUGCCGGUGAAGGAGAUAAAUGUUCCGCGCAGCAAAACCCGUGAGUGAAGAGAUGCUGCCGAAACGACGUUCCUCAUUUGCGAGUAUUGCAAAGAUUAAGAAACGUUACUCACGUCCCUGCCGGCCAAGACAGCUGCAAAAUAUUUUCAACAAAAUUAUAUGCGCAUACGCGAUUUCUUUACGUAAAGUAUUUUAAUGUAAACCCUUGAUCGAUGCUUGGUCCUACAAUUUCCAAAAAUAAACGGCUUAAUUAAUGGCUAGCGGCGAGCGACAGAUUUUUAUAUCGCGCGGAUGUGUCGAGGAAAGAUAGGAGUUCUCGGGCGUACGUGAUUAAUCAGAAGCACGCGCAAAUAAUAUUAUUGUUUUUGCGCAACGACAAUUUCUCUGCCCCGAGGAAAAGAGAGUCUCGUGAGAAUCUAUGAAAAUCAGUUGGACAUUGACUCAACGCCCUCCCCUUCUGCCCCCAAGUACUUACGGCUCGGAGUCCCGAUUUCGAAAGUACCCUUCGACGGCGCGAUCCUCUCUCGAUGGCCGCUCGCGAUUGCCCUCGCCGAUUCACACCGCCGUAUAACGAUCGCAUCGUGGAAACAAUGGCUGCUUACGGCCCGACCCUGGAACGCGCGGAGGCACCGUAGCCGCGCUGCGAUUACGGAAAUGCCCUCUGUUGUUUUAUAUCUUUGCAUUGGAACGCGUUGCGGAAUCCAGGAAUCGCGUUCUAGAGAACCAAUUACUCGUAACGGUUCGCGGAAGGGAAAAAAAAAAGGAAGAGAUACUCGAACGAGCGGUCCUCUAUUUUUUUUUUCUCCUUAAACGUUCGCGUCGUUCCUUUGUCCGUUCGUUACUGGAAAGUUCUAGUGUCUUGUCCUCGUUUGCGCCUCGAAAAAGGGACACGCCGAGCCUUUGCGGACAGCGAUAGGGUGGAGGCACCACUACGUAACAGGGCGAUAAGGCAUGUAAUGAUGAUUACUUCGAGGAAACAGUUUCCUCGGAAUUACACAAGUCACAGAAGGCGCACGCACGAGGGAGGACCCGGGGAACGCUCGAAAUCAUAAUUUCGGUCGAUUCCGAUCGGCGCCCUUUCUUCCCACAGUGCUUAGUUUACGCGUCGCCGGGCAAAUUACGGGGUUCCGGUGUACUCGCGCAAGAGGGACACUCUUUGGAAGAGCGAACAGCGAGAGAGGAAGGCAGAGAAAGCGAGUACGAAAAGGUACAGAAUGCAAGAAAGAGGGCAAGAGAAAAAAAAAAAAACGAAGAGCCGAGAAAGAAAAGGGUCGUAAUCGCACAAGUUGGCGGAACCGAGGCCAUUUCAAACAAACAAACAAUCCAGAAUUAAGACUGUAAUAAUUCGAGAUUAUCGACUGUAACUUGAUAAUCUAGCGUUGACACAUAAAUCGUUUGUCCAUCAGCCAAGUUCGCCAAACGCUCGAAAUUAGCUGCAAGUAUACAACCGUCACACUAUCCCGUAUUUUCACCAGCCACCUGCCUCUUAAUUGAUAUCGGCGCAGAAUGGUCAGCUGUGUUGCAACAAUUUCAAUGUAAAUCGGCGUGAACACGCGGGACGAGAGAACGAGGCAUCAAAGCUCAGCAGCGUAUCGGAGAAUACGCUUUUUCUUUUCUCUCUCUUUCGCCAGUCCGGCGCCGCCGCGCUCUCUUAUGACCGAGCAUUCGACGGUUGUGUUCGAAGCGACCUUUUUAUUACGCCGACGGGCAACACCGGUACUCCACCUCGUACGGAGCGUUGCAGCAUUAUAAGUUUUCCGCGACUGCAGCUCGGACCGGUAAUUUGAGACGAAUAAUUGCGGGGCACAAAAAAAUAUGGCCGUUCCAAGAGAGGGACGAUGACGGGGUGGACAGGGGGUGGGGCGGAUGGUGCACGAAAGAGGGAGAAACAACCGGCGGAGUUACGUACGUUCGGUUUGUAUGUCAUUGCUGGUACUCCCCCGGGGCUACGGAGGAGAAUCUGAGCUGGAAUAUCCUGGUCCUCUCUCUGUCUGACUCUCGCUUCGCUUUCGCCUCUCCUCGCUCUCGUGCGCAUGUAUCGCGAAUGCCGAAACGCAGGACCGAAAUUGUUCUCGCGAGCUGCGAUGGCGGGCGGCGAGAAUUUUUCGCGCGCUCAUCCGUCAUCGAAUUUAUCGCGGUGGACCAGAUGUCAAACUUAAUGGAAAUGAUUUAUUUCUAGGGCGAGAUUUCGAGGAAUAUCAAGUUUCGAUCGUGUUAUACAUUUUUUAUGAUGCGCCCCUGCGAUUUAUACUUUGUACCGGGUUAUUCGUAUCAAGAAUCUUGUUGAGCGAUGGCCGUCGACUGCAAGGCCAUUUGGCGAGAUGCAUUCCGCGCGCACCCGUUGAUAUUGCAUUUGAUAUUUAUCGCCUUUAAACUGGACGGCGAGCUUUUUGCCGCUGUCACUUUCGCGACCAGUCUGGACCCAAUGGGACGUUCAAAAAGAGUAAUAAAACUCUUUUUCCCAUCAGCACCUUACCAUCCAGCUUCAACGAGCGUUAUCAAGAUAUACGAGCCAGAUUGAGGUAGCGAUUGAUGUAUAAUAGUUAUCUCAUAUUUGAAGUUAAAAAUUUCAAUUCCUCAAAUAUUCUGUAACGCGACACAUUCUUGGGGGAAAAAAAAAA